GCAUAGCUCAGUUGGUUAGAGUGUGGUGCUGAUAAUGCCAAGGCUGCAGGUUCGAUUCCCAGAUGGGACAGCUGCA
rnacentral:tRNA from 1 species